rnacentral:rRNA from 1 species
ACGAACGCUGGCGGCGUGCCUAAUACAUGCAAGUCGAACGGUCUUUCUAUGGAAGCUUGCUCCACUGAGAAGAUAGUGGCGAACGGGUGAGUAACACGUGGGUAACCUGCCCAUAAGAGGGGGGAUAACAUCCGGAAACGGGUGCUAAUACCGCAUAGUUUUCUUGAUCGCAUGAUCGGGAAAGGAAAGACGGCCUUUGUGCUGUCGCUUAUGGAUGGACCCGCGGCGUAUUAGUUAGUUGGUGAGGUAACGGCUCACCAAGACGAUGAUACGUAGCCGACCUGAGAGGGUGAUCGGCCACAUUGGGACUGAGACACGGCCCAAACUCCUACGGGAGGCAGCAGUAGGGAAUCUUCCGCAAUGGACGAAAGUCUGACGGAGCAACGCCGCGUGAGUGAAGAAAGGUUUUCGGAUCGUAAAACUCUGUUGUCAGAGAAGAACAAGUUGGAGAGUAACUGCUCCAGCCUUGACGGUAUCUGACCAGAAAGCCACGGCUAACUACGUGCCAGCCGCAGC